UACGUAGGGACCAAGCGUUGUUCGGAUUUACUGGGCGUAAAGGGCGCGUAGGCGGCUUGACAAGUCACUUGUGAAAUCUCUGGGCUUAACCCAGAACGGCCAAGUGAAACUGUCGAGCUAGAGUGUAGAAGGGGCAAUCGGAAUUCUUGGUGUAGCGGUGAAAUGCGUAGAUAUCAAGAGGAACACCUGAGGUGAAGACGGGUUGCUGGUCUAACACUGACGCUGAGGCGCGAAAGCCAGGGGAGACGAAACGGG
rnacentral:rRNA from 1 species